GACCCGCGGCUCGGACUACGUGUCCGCAAAGGGCAAAAAGGAGACCCAGUAAAGAGUCCGGAGUCCGUGGGGAUCCAGCGGAGAAAGGUCACGGGACUUCUUGAAAAGGGGCCCGGACUCGAACCUGGGACCUUAGAACAAUGGCAGCAGCCAGGGCUAGCCUUGGCCGGAUCUUUCCAGAGUCCUCCAUCCUGUUCCUAUGUGACAUGCAGGAGAAACUUCGAGACAGAGUCCUCUACUUCCCUCAGAUCGUAUCAAUGGCCGCUCGGAUGCUUAAGGUGGCCCGGAUAUUAGAUGUCCCCGUCUUGCUGACAGAGCAUUACCCACAAGGCCUGGGCCCCACAGUUCCUGAGCUGGGCGCUCAGGGCGUGAGAACCAUGAGUAAAACGUCCUUCAGCAUGGUGCCCCCACUUCAACAGGAACUGGACAAACUGCCCCAGCUGAAGUCUGUGCUACUUUGUGGCAUUGAGACCCAAGUUUGCAUCUUGUCUCCACAUCUGGCCUAGGAUCCUCACCUCCCCCCACGGGGC
rnacentral:lncRNA from 1 species